UACGUAGGGUGCGAGCGUUAAUCGGAAUUACUGGGCGUAAAGUGUGCGCAGGCCGCCGAGCAUGUCGAGUGUGAAAGCCCCGAGCUUAACUUGGGAACUGCGCUCGAAACUACUUGGCUAGAGUGUGGCAGAGGGAGGUGGAAUUCCACGUGUAGCGGUGAAAUGCGUAGAGAUGUGGAGGAACACCGAUGGCGAAGGCAGCCUCCUGGGCCAACACUGACGCUCAUGCACGAAAGCGUGGGGAUCAAACAGG
rnacentral:rRNA from 1 species